rnacentral:tRNA from 1 species
GGGCCCGUGGAUCAACGGUAGAUCGCCACCUUCGCAAGGUGGAGGCUCUGGGUUCAAAUCCCAGCGGGUCCA